rnacentral:rRNA from 1 species
UAGGGAAUAUUGCAUAAUGGGCGAAAGCCUGAUGCAGCAACGCCGCGUGUGCGAUGAAGGCCUUCGGGUUGUAAAGCACUUUUGAUCGGGAAGAGGAAGGACGGUACCGGUCGAAUAAGCCUCGGCUAACUACGUGCCAGCAGCCGCGGUAAAACGUAGGAGGCGAGCGUUAUCCGGAUUUACUGGGUGUAAAGCGCGUGCAGGCGGUCUACUAAGUUGGAUGUGAAAGCUCCUGGCUCAACUAGGAGAGGUCGUUCAAGACUGGUAGACUGGAGAGCAGUAGAGGAAGGUGGAAUUCCGGGUGUAGUGGUGAAAUGCGUAGAUAUCCGGAGGAACACCAGUGGCGAAAGCGGCCUUCUGGACUGCAUCUGACGCUCAGACGCGAAAGCUAGGGGAGCAAACGGGAUUAGAGACCCCGGUAGUCCUAGCUGUAAACGAUGUGAACUUGGCGCUGGGUUGGGUAAAACCGAUCCGUGCCGGAGCAAACGCGAUAAGUUC